UAGGGAAUCUUCCACAAUGGACGCAAGUCUGAUGGAGCAACGCCGCGUGAGUGAAGAAGGUCUUCGGAUCGUAAAGCUCUGUUGUUGGUGAAGAAGGAUAGAGGCAGUAACUGGUCUUUAUUUGACGGUAAUCAACCAGAAAGUCACGGCUAACUACGUGCCAGCAGCCGCGGUAAUACGUAGGUGGCAAGCGUUGUCCGGAUUUAUUGGGCGUAAAGCGAGCGCAGGCGGAAUGAUAAGUCUGAUGUGAAAGCCCACGGCUCAACCGUGGAACUGCAUCGGAAACUGUCAUUCUUGAGUGCAGAAGAGGAGAGUGGAACUCCAUGUGUAGCGGUGGAAUGCGUAGAUAUAUGGAAGAACACCAGUGGCGAAGGCGGCUCUCUGGUCUGCAACUGACGCUGAGGCUCGAAAGCAUGGGUAGCGAACAGGAUUA
rnacentral:rRNA from 1 species